UACGUAGGGGGCAAGCGUUGUCCGGAUUUAUUGGGCGUAAAGAGCGUGUAGGCGGCCGCACAGGUCCGUUGUGAAAACUGGAGGCUUAACCUUCAGACGUCGAUGGAAACCGUGCGGCUAGAGUCCGGAAGAGGAGAGUGGAAUUCCUGGUGUAGCGGUGAAAUGCGCAGAUAUCAGGAAGAACACCCGUGGCGAAGGCGGCUCUCUGGGACGGUACUGACGCUGAGACGCGAAAGCGUGGGUAGCAAACAGG
rnacentral:rRNA from 1 species